GGACAGACUGCUGAAACUAGGCUCUAUGGUUCCUGUCUACAGUAGAGGUGCUGUUGUUGUCUCUGACACUGUGAUGAUGGGACUGGACAGACUGCUGAAACUAGGCUCUAUGGUUCCUGUCUACAGUAGAGGUGCUGUUGUUGUCUCUGACACUGUGAUGAUUGGACUGGACAGACUGCUGAAACUAGGCUCUAUGGUUCCUGUCUACAGUAGAGGUGCUGUUGUUGUCUCUGACACUGUGAUGAUGGGACUGGACAGACUGCUGAAACUAGGCUCUAUGGUUCCUGUCUACAGUAGAGGUGCUGUUGUUGUCUCUGACACUGUGAUGAUUGGACUGGACAGACUGCUGAAACUAGGCUCUAUGGUUCCUGUCUACAGUAGAG